rnacentral:rRNA from 1 species
UACAUGGGGUGCAAACGUUGCUCGGAAUUACUGGGCGUAAAGCGCACGUAGGCGGCUUUCUAAGUCAGGGGUGAAAUCCUGGAGCUCAACUCCAGAACUGCCUUUGAUACUGAAGAUCUUGAGUUCGGGAGAGGUGAGUGGAACUGCGAGUGUAGAGGUGAAAUUCGUAGAUAUUCGCAAGAACACCAGUGGCGAAGGCGGCUCACUGGCCCGAUACUGACGCUGAUGCACGAAAGCGUGGGGAGCAAACAGG